AUCAAAGCUGACUUAAGCUCAGGAACAGAAUGCAAGCACUGUAAAGUUGAAUUCAUGUAACAUGUGUUUCCCAAAUUAAACAAGCCAGCGCUGUGACCCACUGCAAUAACUUGUUCAUCUUCAGGAAGAUCUUCUAUAAAGACAGGGCCCUUCUCUGGGGCCUUAACAAUCUCAUCUGCUGUGCCCAUCAUCAUUAAUUUUUGACCCUCUUUUACUCCUACCGUCGCCCAAUCUGCAUCAUCCUUCAGUAUACCACCCUUAACCAUAAUCUUCUGCCUUUCAGGAGGUACACCUGUGAGUUCAAACAACUGGCCCUUGAAAACAUAUGGGGGCAGACUGGUG
rnacentral:misc_RNA from 1 species